GUCCACGCCGUAACGAUGAGUGCUAGAUGCUGUGGGUAUUGACCCCGCGGUGUCGCAGCCAACGCGUUAAGCACUCCGCCUGGGAGUACGGCCGCAAGGCUAAACUCAAAGGAAUUGACGGGGCCCGCACAAGCGGUGGAGCAUGUGGUUCAAUUCGACGCAACGCGCAGAACCUUACCUGGGUUAAAUCCACUCGAAUCUAACAGAGAUGUUGGGGUGCCCUUCGGGGAACGAGUGAGAAGGUGCUGCAUGGCUGUCGU
rnacentral:rRNA from 1 species